AGGGCUGUGCAGUCCCUGAGAUGAGUGCAGAGCUCUGAAUCUUCAUUUGCACUUUUGCUUCCCUGGGAUGGGGCAUGCUCCAGUUUAAGCCGUGGGUAUAACUACCUGCCUGAGGGGGGAAACUGAGGCACCUGUGCCUGGUGAUGGAAAGCAGUGUGCUACGCAGGCGAACUCACGAGUGUCGUUGCUGCUCUUUGAUUGGAUGUGAGGAGCUUUACCCUGGUGGUGAUGCCAAGGGAGAUGGAGGGCAGUGAGCUGCUGCUAUUGGAGAGAAGCUGCUCGGAGACCUGCCAGGCGAGGGGCUCUGCUGGGGGUGAAGUGGGUUCCACGUAUCCCACCCAUCCCAGAGCUGUCUGAGCCUCUGACCUUCCCUUCCGUCCCCUGGUGGCUGGCAUCAUGUGACGGGUCCCAGGAAUCAACCCCCUUCCUUGCCUCCCCCCCAGCUCAGUUCCUGUGACAAUAAGGCAGAACCCACUGACCUAACUUAGACUUUCAGCCGGCCUGCAGCCAGGUCCUCACACGUGGCCUGGUGGUAAUGGAGGCAAGGUAACAUCAUGGAGCAAAAACCUGGCUGAGACCAUCGGGUUGGUCAACAUUCACCAUGGCAGGAGGCUGGCGGCCGGUGCCUCUGUUGCUAGGGCCUGUGUCAGGGCCGGCUCCAGCGUUUUUGCCACCCCAAGCAGCAAAAAAACAAAACCAAAAAACCUUGCCACUGGGCACAGAGCUGGAGUGAUGGGGCGGCCGCCGAAUUGCUGCCGGCGACCGAAGAAGGGUCAUGUCCCUGCCGCUGAAUUGCAGCCGAGCGCGAGACGCUGUGACAGAGCGGCUGCCGAGUUCCUGCCGCCGCCGAGGGUGGAUUGCUGCCCCAGAGCCCGCCGUCCUGUCGCCCCUUUACAUUUGCCGCCCCGGGCACCUGCUUGGUUCGCUGGUGCCUGGAGCUGGCCCUGGCCUGUGUUUAAAUAUAUUUAUUAAUGAUCUGGAACG